GAGGUAUUAGUAAAAAUUACAUAACUUCGUCAAAGUUAAGUUACAGGUGAAAACCCUGUCUACCUCC